UUAUAUUGCAAUAUUGGAAAUCAUCAAUGCCUAUUACUUUCUUUAGGGAGGUCCUUGCAUUAUGUGACCAUCCAGUUAUUUUGGACAAAGGUGAAACACAAGGUCUGUUCAGGUACUCCAGGAUACGGCGGCUGCUAGAUUUUGAAUUUUUAUCUAUUGGAGACUAUUAAGGUAGCUGAUUGGUGUCCGCAGACCUUGACUCUCUUUUCUUUCAGUUGUUUGUACUGUUCUAUAUUUUUCAAACAAUAUUUUAUCAGCCAGACUAUGUUAAUUUAGAUGCUCAUGUACUCAUCGACACAGGAGUU